rnacentral:rRNA from 1 species
AGGUGAACUGCGGGAAGGAUCAUUA